rnacentral:rRNA from 1 species
UACGUAGGGCGCAAGCGUUGUCCGGAAUUAUUGGGCGUAAAGAGCUCGUAGGCGGCUUGUCACGUCGGGUGUGAAAGCCCGGGGGCUUAACCCCGGGUCUGCAUUCGAUACGGGCAGGCUAGAGUGUGGUAGGGGAGAUCGGAAUUCCUGGUGUAGCGGUGAAAUGCGCAGAUAUCAGGAGGAACACCGGUGGCGAAGGCGGAUCUCUGGGCCAUUACUGACGCUGAGGAGCGAAAGCGUGGGGAGCAACAGG